rnacentral:rRNA from 1 species
CAGGCUUAACACAUGCAAGUCGAGGGGCAGCAUGGUCUUAGCUUGCUAAGGCCGAUGGCGACCGGCGCACGGGUGAGUAACACGUAUCCAACCUGCCGUCUACUCUUGGACAGCCUUCUGAAAGGAAGAUUAAUACAAGAUGGCAUCAUGAGUCCACAUGUUCACAUGAUUAAAGGUAUUCCGGUAGACGAUGGGGAUGCGUUCCAUUAGAUAGUAGGCGGGGUAACGGCCCACCUAGUCUUCGAUGGAUAGGGGUUCUGAGAGGAAGGUCCCCCACAUUGGAACUGAGACACGGUCCAAACUCCUACGGGAGGCAGCAGUGAGGAAUAUUGGUCAAUGGGCGAGAGCCUGAACCAGCCAAGUAGCGUGAAGGAUGACUGCCCUAUGGGUUGUAAACUUCUUUUAUAAAGGAAUAAAGUCGGGUAUGGAUACCCGUUUGCAUGUACUUUAUGAAUAAGGAUCGGCUAACUCCGUGCCAGCAGCCGCGGUAAUACGGAGGAUCCGAGCGUUAUCCGGAUUUAUUGGGUUUAAAGGGAGCGUAGAUGGAUGUUUAAGUCAGUUGUGAAAGUUUGCGGCUCAACCGUAAAAUUGCAGUUGAUACUGGAUAUCUUGAGUGCAGUUGAGGCAGGCGGAAUUCGUGGUGUAGCGGUGAAAUGCUUAGAUAUCACGAAGAACUCCGAUUGCGAAGGCAGCCUGCUAAGCUGCAACUGACAUUGAGGCUCGAAAGUGUGGGUAUCAAACAGGAUUAGAUACCCUGGUAGUCCACACGGUAAACGAUGAAUACUCGCUGUUUGCGAUAUACAGCAAGCGGCCAAGCGAAAGCGUUAAGUAUUCCACCUGGGGAGUACGCCGGCAACGGUGAAACUCAAAGGAAUUGACGGGGGCCCGCACAAGCGGAGGAACAUGUGGUUUAAUUCGAUGAUACGCGAGGAACCUUACCCGGGCUUAAAUUGCAGAUGAAUUACGGUGAAAGCCGUAAGCCGCAAGGCAUCUGUGAAGGUGCUGCAUGGUUGUCGUCAGCUCGUGCCGUGAGGUGUCGGCUUAAGUGCCAUAACGAGCGCAACCCUUGUUGUCAGUUACUAACAGGUUCCGCUGAGGACUCUGACAAGACUGCCAUCGUAAGAUGUGAGGAAGGUGGGGAUGACGUCAAAUCAGCACGGCCCUUACGUCCGGGGCUACACACGUGUUACAAUGGGGGGUACAGAGGGCCGCUACCACGCGAGUGGAUGCCAAUCCCAAAAACCUCUCUCAGUUCGGACUGGAGUCUGCAACCCGACUCCACGAAGCUGGAUUCGCUAGUAAUCGCGCAUCAGCCACGGCGCGGUGAAUACGUUCCCGGGCCUUGUACACACCGCCCGUCAAGCCAUGGGAGCCGGGGGUACCUGAAGUGCGUAACCGCGAGGAGCGCCCUAGGGUAAAACUGGUGACUGGG